rnacentral:rRNA from 1 species
AUGGCUUUAGUACAUGAUCUUUGGUUGCCAAGUAGUUUGGACACGAUGACAGGGCCAAUUUGGCCAUCUAUUGAGGCCAAAAUUUUUGAGUUGAGGCCUGGACUUAUUGCUCUCGUCUUGCAGAAUCAGUUUAGAGGAUUACCCAAUGAAGACCCUCAUGAGCACAUUAGUAAUGUUCUGGAGUAUGCCAAUACAGUCCAGUAUCAUGGCGUUUCCCAAGAUACUAUCAAGUGUAUGUUGUUCACAUUCUCUCUCAGAGAUGCUGCUAAGGACUGGUACUAUUCUUUGCCAUCAAGAUCAUACACUUGGGGUGAUAUUUCACAAGCUUUCCUGCAUAGAUAUUUUCCACUUUACAAGCAAGCUGCAAUUCGUGACCAGAUCCUCAGUUUUGCGCAAGAUGGUAGUGAGAGCUUGUAUGCAGCUUGGGAGAGAUAUAAGUAUUUGCUUAGAAAAUGUCCUAAUCAUGGGCAAAAGGAUUGGUUAGUGCUUCAGAUAUUCUAUAGAGGGCUGACACAUGCUUCAAGAGAUCUUAUUGAUAUGUCAGCUGGUGGAACAAUCAUGAACAAGACCGUCGAGGGUGCAAUUAUUCUCAUUGAGAGCAUUGCCUUCCACCAAAUGCAAUGGGGUUAUGAAAGGCCUAGUUCAAAUCCGAAGGUUGCAAGCCUCGUGCAAUCAGAAGUUGUGUGUUCCAUAAGUGAACAGAAAUCAUCCAUGGUGCCUAAUAUUCAAAACCAGCAUGUUUCAUUCCGGGGACAACAACAUUUCAGAACUGAAUUAGAUCCUCCAUAUAGAACGAUUGAUCUUACUUCAAUUAUCCUUGAUGAUGAUUAUGAUAUUUUUCAAGAUGAUGAAACUACUGUAGAUCAGAUGGAAACCACAGUAGCAGAUCCAAUACCUCAUGGCAAUGAAACUGUCCAGAAUGAGUCAAAGCUGAAAGAAGAUGUUUAUGAGGAACCUACUCUGAUUGAUGCUAAGUUGAGACAACAAGAUAUGGAGAAAUUCACUUGUGUUAGUCAACUAUGUGACUGGUGGAAUUUAGUCGUGUCACCAAUUGCCCACACUUGUGUUACAACGGUAUCUGGGCUAUUUGUCAAGAAGAAAUCAUUAGCUCCACCGGUGGUUGCCUCUAUCACAGUUAAAGAGAGUAUCUCAGAGAAGAAUAGUGAAGAUGAGAUUCCAACUCCUGCACAUACAACUAAGCAAGUCGGAGCCAUUCCAAGGAGAGAGAUACAAGAGGUUGAGUCAAAUUUAGAAGAGUUGAUACUUCAAUAUCCUGAGAAGAUCCCACGUGUUGCUGAGCUGCAUGACUGGUGGAAGUCAUCAGUGUCACUGUUGAGACUUAGUAGUGAUGGUGAUGAGGAGAACAUUGCUCAGAAAGACAGCGAGGUAGUGAUCUCAACACCCCUACCAGAUCAUGUUAGUGAAUAUUCACAUAUGGGGACACUUCAGACUCAAUUAAGUGUUGCUGGUAGUAGCACCAUAGAAGAUCCAGAGGAAGAGAGUCCUCAACUUGAAGAAGAUUUACAAGAAGACAAGGAACAAGAUGAUCAAGAGCUGCAAUUUCCAAGUGAUCAAGUUGAAGACUCAUCAUCUACUACUCCUGAAGAAGUACAAGAAGCUGUUGUAGAUGAAGAUGAAGAACCUGAGAUUCAUUGGCCUAUUGUCAUACAUGAGCGCGAUGUGUCAGGUUUACCCAAUCCUCUUGAUGACAUGCUCCCUUGUGAUUUCUUUGCUUCUAACUUGCAUUGCAUGAUGCCAUCACUUAAGGUAGAUUUGAAAAACUAUUUGCUUGGACAUGAUCAUACACACCCUGUUAGUGGCAUUACUCUCAUUUGUGAUGAUCACAGUUACUUUCCUCGUGCUAGUUCUAUGCUUAAUGAAACAUAUCAUUCCCAUGUUAGUCUUGAGCUUAAUGAUAAAUAUCAUCCUCAUGUUAGCAUUGAGCUUACUGAUUUGUACCAUCCUAAACAUGUGCUUUAUAGCUAUGCUUAUGUAAUUGGGUACUCUAUAGAUGAUUUAGAGGGCAUUACCCUUGUCACUUGUAUUGUUUCCUUGGUUGAGUGCUCUUUCAGGUUGUUGCUUGUGCACGAUCCACUACAUGCUGACCAAGUCCGAGAUGACAUUCCCUGGGACCCCGGUGGACCCAUGGCAUGGGGAUGA